GAUGAACGCUAGCGGCAGGCCUAAUACAUGCAAGUCGAACGGGAUCCAGAUCAAAGCUUGCUUUGGUUUGGUGAGAGUGGCGUACGGGUGCGUAACGCGUGAGCAACCUACCCUUGUCAGGGGGAUAGCCCGGCGAAAGUCGGAUUAAUACCGCAUGACAUCAUUGAGAGGCAUCUUUCGAUGAUCAAAGAUUUAUCGGACAAGGAUGGGCUCGCGUGACAUUAGCUAGUUGGUAAGGUAACGGCUUACCAAGGCUACGAUGUCUAGGGGCUCUGAGAGGAGAAUCCCCCACACUGGUACUGAGACACGGACCAGACUCCUACGGGAGGCAGCAGUAAGGAAUAUGGGUCAAUGGACGGAAGUCUGAACCAGCCAUGCCGCGUGCAGGAAGACGGCCCUAUGGGUUGUAAACUGCUUUUAUACGGGAACAAACGUCGGUACGUGUACCGGUCUGAGUGUACCGUAAGAAUAAGGAUCGGCUAACUCCGUG
rnacentral:rRNA from 1 species